GAUGAACGCUGGCUACAGGCUUAACACAUGCAAGUCGAGGGGAAACGACGGGGAAGCUUGCUUCCCCGGGCGUCGACCGGCGCACGGGUGAGUAACGCGUAUCCAACCUGCCUCUGACUGAGGGAUAACCCGUCGAAAGUCGGCCUAAUACCUCAUGGCAUCGUCUGCGGGCAUCCAACGACGAUUAAAGAUUUCAUCGGUCAGGGAUGGGGAUGCGUCUGAUUAGCUUGUUGGCGGGGUAACGGCCCACCAAGGCUACGAUCAGUAGGGGUUCUGAGAGGAAGGUCCCCCACAUUGGAACUGAGACACGGUCCAAACUCCUACGGGAGGCAGCAGUGAGGAAUAUUGGUCAGUGGGCGGGAGCCUGAACCAGCCAAGUAGCGUGCAGGAUGACGGCCCUAUGGGUUGUAAACUGCUGUUAUGCGGGGAUAAAGUGAGGGACGUGUCCUUCAUUGCAGGUACCGCAUGAAUAAGGACCGGCUAAUUCCGUG
rnacentral:rRNA from 1 species